CGCUCCUCUCCUACUUGGAUAACUGUGGUAAUUCUAGAGCUAAUACAUGCCGACGGGCGCUGACCCCCUUCGCGGGGGGGAUGCGUGCAUUUAUCAGAUCAAAACCAACCCGGUCAGCCCCUCUCCGGCCCCGGCCGGGGGGCGGGCGCCGGCGGCUUUGGUGACUAAAGAUAACCUCGGGCCGAUCGCACGCCCCCCGUGGCGGCGACGACCCAUUCGAACGUCUGCCCUAUCAACUUUCGAUGGUAGUCGCCGUGCCUACCAUGGUGACCACGGGUGACGGGGAAUCAGGGUUCGAUUCCGGAGAGGGAGCCUGAGAAACGGCUACCACAUCCAAGGAAGGCAGCAGGCGCGCAAAUUACCCACUCCCGACCCGGGGAGGUAGUGACGAAAAAU
rnacentral:rRNA from 1 species